rnacentral:lncRNA from 10 species
GCACAUUUUAUGCUUUUAAUCAGUUGUGAUGGUCAUUAGUAUUUUUAUCACAUUUCUCCAAAGGUAGGCUAAUCACUGUUAUUAUUUUCAGCUAGAAAUAUAAAAGGUAUUUUCUAUUUUUGAUGACUUUGAAACAUAACCCUUGGAAUAUAAUAUCUGUGUAUAAUAUCUGUGGAAAGCAUGAAAGUAAUAUUCAAACAGUAUGCAUUUUUUCCAGAAUGAAAAUUUCCUCUACAAUAACAUUCAUCCUUUUUUCCUGAUGGACACAUAAAAGUCAACAUUUCUAACAUUGCUGGACGUUAUUUACAUUAAACUUGCCUCAGCUUCAGGUGUUGCAGAAACUGGGCAAGAGGCCACAAGGUACACAAUACACACACACACACACAAACUUGUAUUAUUAUACUUACCUAAGUGUCUAAAGAGGUGGAUAAAUAUAUUAGAUUGCUCCAGAACAAGGAUUUUUAUGGGGCCUAUUGGAAAGUAUGACUGCAGUUUGAGUGAGAUGCCUGUAAGAGAUUCAAUUUGGCCACUAUUUAUUGAGUAUCCAAUUUUAAAAGUACUGACAGAAGGCUCAUGAGUUAGAAAUUUUCACCUAAGUCUAUUGGAAAUGUGCUACUGGAUGCUGUAGUAAAGAGUGGUGUGGUAAU